rnacentral:rRNA from 1 species
CCUACGGGCGGCAGCAGUGAGGAAUAUUGGUCAAUGGGCGCAAGCCUGAACCAGCCAAGUAGCGUGAAGGAUGACUGCCCUACGGGUUGUAAACUUCUUUUAUGAGGGAAUAAAGUGAGGCACGUGUGCCUUUUUGUAUGUACUUUAUGAAUAAGGAUCGGCUAACUCCGUGCCAGCAGCCGCGGUAAUACGGAGGAUCCGAGCGUUAUCCGGAUUUAUUGGGUGUAAAGGGAGCGUAGGUGGGUUGUUAAGUCAGUUGGGAAAGUUUGCGGCUUAACCGUAAAAGUGCAAUUGAUACUGGCAGGCUGGAGUACAGUAGAGGUAGGCGGAAUUCGUGGUGUAGCGGUGAAAUGCUUAGAUAUCACGAAGAACUCCGAUUGCGAAGGCAGCCUACUAAACGGCCACUGACACUGAGGCUCGAAAGUGUGGGUAUCAAACAGGAUUAGAUACCCCUGUAGUC